rnacentral:rRNA from 1 species
ACGAAAGUCUUCCGGUUCCGGGGGAAGUAUGGUUGCAAAGCUGAAACUUAAAGGAAUUGACGGAAGGGCACCACCAGGAGUGGAGCCUGCGGCUUAAUUUGACUCAACACGGGAAAACUCACCCGGCCCGGACACCGUGAGGAUUGACAGAUUGAUAGCUUUUUCAUGAUUCGGUGGUUGGUGGUGCAUGGCCGUUCUUAGUUCGUGGAUCGAUUUGUCUGGUUUAUUCCGAUAACGAGCGAGACUCCAGCCUACUAACUAGUGCGGGCAUUGCCUCUGUGCUUGUCACUUCUUAGAGGGAUUGGCUGCGUCUAGCGGCACGAAACGGAGCAAUAACAGGUCUGUGAUGCCCUUAGAUGUCCGGGGCUGCACGCGCGCUACACUGGCAAAGGCAGCRUGCUUGUCCGCCUCCGAAAGGAGCCGGUAAACCCUUGAAAAUUUGCCGUGAUUGGGAUCGGAAAUUGCAAUUAUUUUCCGUGAACGAGGAAUUCCUAGUAAGUGCGAGU